CAGCAGUACGUGUCUCCCUGCUGGCUCCUUGGGUCAGCGAACACAAUCUGAAUCAGCCAGAGUUGCCUGUUGAACUCUCUCUUUGAUUACAGACACACGAAGCAGCAUGGACAAACCCCAAAUCGCCUUUGAUUUCUCUCUAACCCUGGCAGGGGGCAGGCUCAGGCCCCCUCCAGAUCCAGAAGCUAGGCUGGAGGGCCGAAAGGGCAGGGCAGUUUCUGCCAGGCCUCCCACUACCACACAAACAAAAAGAGCUGUUCAGUGUUUCUCUCCGAGAACAAAAUGAAACAGACAAAAAUACAACAUCUACAAAGACACAGGGAUGGUCCAGAAAGGUUUGCACAAACCCGGUAUGCAGACCAGGUAGGAAAAACCACCCGCUGCAGACGCCCAGACUGCUUCAGACACAUUCCCAGGAAGACAGAGGGAAGGAAGAAACAGGAAGGUCAUGGAGGAGCGGCAGAAGACCAAAUUCGGCCAGUUCGCCACUUGAGACCUGCCAGUUUCUGGAUUUUAAUGGCCUUUUCUCCCAGGCAGAGGUGAAAGAAACCCAGGGAGCCUCCUGGAAAUCCCAUUGACUUGGCAGAAAGAAGAGCUGGACGAUGACUGGAAGGUUCCGGAAGACAUCAUGGGGAGACAUCUCAGGAAGGGAAAGUCAAUUAUCCACAAGGACUCAGGGGCGGUGCUCCCCAUCAAAGGCUGGUGUCAGGAAAGACUCUGAGGUCAGAAUCCAGACACGGGAUUGGAGGUGCUGAUGAACUCUGCUGCAGCACAGACGUCGGGGAGAAGAACUCCAGCGAGGUUAGCAGUGGAGCUGAGAUUGGAAGAGGACUCAAAGAAUGGAAGACGUCAGCGAUCUACCAGUAGUAUGGGAGUCUCCAAGAAUCCAGGUUUAACAUUCAAAGCAAAGACCCCUCACCUGGAGGCCUCCAUCCACCUGAGCAUUCUUCAAGGAUCUCCUUGGGUCCCAGGUUAUCUAAUUUUUGGAUGGAGAGGGGAGCAGAGGACAGGCCAUCCAGAUGGCAUUGAAGGGACUUCCCUGGUGUUGCAGUGAUUAGACUCUGCCUGCCAAUGUAAGGGGCCCAGGUUCCAUCCCUGGUCAGGGAAC